rnacentral:rRNA from 1 species
GACGAACGCUGGCGGCGUGCUUAACACAUGCAAGUCGAACGGUAAGGCCCUUCGGGGUACACGAGUGGCGAACGGGUGAGUAACACGUGGGUGAUCUGCCCUGCACUUCGGGAUAAGCCUGGGAAACGGGGUCCAAUACCGGAUAGGACCACUGCCUGCAUGGGUGGUGGUGGAAAGCUUUUGCGGUGUGGGAUGGGCCCACGGCCUAUCGGCUUGUUGGGGGGGUGAUGGCCUACCAAGGCGACGACGGGUAGCCGGCCUGAGAGGGUGACCGGCCACACUGGGACUGAGAUACGGCCCAGACUCCUACGGGAGGCAGCAGUGGGGAAUAUUGCACAAUGGGCGCAAGCCUGAUGAAGCGACGCCGCGUGAGGGAUGACGGCCUUCGGGUUGUAAACCUCUUUCAGCACCGACGAAGCGCAAGUGACGGUAGGUGCAGAAGAAGGACCGGCCAACUACGUGCCAGCAGCCGCCGUAA